CCUACGGGUGGCAGCAGUGAGGAAUAUUGGUCAAUGGCCGGAAGACUGAACCAGCCAAGCCGCGUGAGGGAUGAAGGUACACAGUAUCGUAAACUUCUUUUGUCAGGGAACAAAGGCCGGGACGUGACCCAGAACGAGGGUACAUGAAGAAAACGCAUCGGCUAACUCGGUGCCAGCAGCCGCGGUAAUACGGAGGAUCCGAGCGUUAUCGGGGUUUAUGGGGUUUAAGGGGUGGGAAGUCGGUCUGUUAAGUCAGGGUGAAAAGCCCGGGGCUAAACCCCGGCCCGCCGUUGAAACUGGGGGUCUCGAGUUGGAGAGAGGUAUGCGGAAUGCGCGGUGUAGCGGUGAAAUGCGUAGAUAUCGCGAAGAACUCCGAUUGCGAAGGCAGCAUACCGGCGGCGAACUGACGCUGAGGCACGAAAGCGUGGGGAUCGAACAGGAUUAGAUACCCCUGUAGUC
rnacentral:rRNA from 1 species